AUGAUGGGGCUGUACGAGUUGGUGUGGCAGAUGCUGCACACGCUGCUCUGUCUGCACCGCACACUCACCUCUUGGCUCCGAGUUCAAUUCCACACCUGGAACUAAAUCUGGAGGCGCUCCUACCACACCACCUCUGUCGCAGUCCUAGUGCUGCUCGGCUUCACGCUCCACAAGCCCCUGGCGAUUGGCAGGAACCACCGUUACCACAGGCACCUGCUCCGGGGGUCGUGCCUAGCAGCCGCCCACCACCGGCUGCGCUAGCACGACAACAGCUGUUCCCUGGAGAAGCUGCCUGUGCACAUGGGCCUGGUGUUCACCGAGGUGGAGCAGGAGCCCAGCUUCUCAGAUAUCACAAGCCUGGUGGUGUGGUGUAUGGCCGUGGGCAUCUACUACAUUCACGUCUACAACUACCAAGAGACAAGGAUUACAGGUAUUUUCAAAAGAAAUAAUUCCAGAUCGAUGGAUGAAAUUUUAAAACAACAGCAAGAACUUCUGGGCCUAGAUUGUUCAAAAUAUUCACCAGUUUGCAAAUAGUAAUGACAAAGAUGAUCAAGUUUUAAAUUGCCAUUUAGCAGUGAAGGUGCUGUCCUCAAAAGAUAGAAAAGCAGAUACUGUGAGAGCUGCUCAGGACUUUUGCCAGUUAGUAGCCCAGAAGCAAAAGAGACCCACAGAUUUGGAUGUGGAUAUGUUAGGUGGUUUACUUAGUUCAAAUGGUUGUCCUAAUCCUGAUUUAGUAUUGAAGUUUGAUCCUGUGGACUGCACAUUAGGCUUUCUUCCCGGGCACAUCAGAUUGACUGAGAUUGUCUAUUUGCCUUCCCACCUAAACAUCAGUUGCGAGGACUUUUUCUCUACCCUUCGUCAAUAUGCAGCCUGUGAACAGCGUCUGGGAAAGUAGUGGUCAUAGGUUGCAUAAUUUGAUUUUAGGCUUAUGGAGGAAGGGACCCAAGUGACUCUGAUGUUUACAAAGCACCUAUGAAACCCUGUACACACCUAGUUCAUAAGCCUCAUAAUUUAUCAGCAAAUACAAAACAGUGUCUUACUUGAGAUUGAGUGUGUGUGCGUGUGCAUGUGCACAGAUGUGCUCGUUUGUAUGUGUGGAAAUAAACUUAUAAAUCGGGACGUAUUAGAAAAGGAAAUACAUAGACCUACAACUUUGAGCAAAUAGCAGUGAUGUUUUAGGAACUGGAAUGUGACACUUAAUGUCUUCAGCCCCAGCUACUUCCCUGUUUUUGUGGGGAGAAGAGGGCCUUAUAGAACUUUUCUGAUUGUGUUUGAUGGGAGGGGAAUAAUUUUUGUUCAGUCCUUCUUAGUGACCAAACUUUAAUUUUUAAGAAUAAUAUAUUGCCUUACUGAAUUGAAGCAUUCUGAGUUUAAAGGAGCUCCAGAGGAAUGGAGUUCUGUGUUGCUCAUGUGUUAAAAGCUUGCUCAGCUUCAGAGACAGCAGAGGAAAUACCUAUCUUCAGAUAUCCGUCCAUUUUCAUCCCUAUGAUAGUCAAACAGUGUGACUUGAGAGUGUUGCUCUGGUGUCUGUAUUCUGGGUUAUCAAGAUUAUUUGAAAAAUAACUCUUACUACAUUGAAAUGUAGACUUUAAAAAAAUUAAAUAUUGGAUUAGACAGGCAAAAAAAGUAAACAAGCAUAAAAGGUGAACACGUUGUAAUCUUAAAAGUAAAGAUGGAGAACUCAUUAUAAAAGGAAAGAGAGUUUUGAUUUCCUUUUUUGUUUGAUGGGCGGCAUGCCAUAUUAUACCCAAAGUUGGUUUAAAAA